rnacentral:rRNA from 1 species
CGUAGGGUGCGAGCGUUGUCCGGAAUUAUUGGGCGUAAAGAGCUCGUAGGCGGUCUGUCGCGUCGGUCGUGAAAACUUGGGGCUUAACCCUGAGCUUGCGGUCGAUACGGGCAUGACUGGAGUUCGGCAGGGGAGACUGGAAUUCCUGGUGUAGCGGUGAAAUGCGCAGAUAUCAGGAGGAACACCGGUGGCGAAGGCGGGUCUCUGGGCCGAUACUGACGCUGAGGAGCGAAAGCGUGGGGAGCGAACAGGAUUAGAUACCCUGGUAGUCCACGCCGUAAACGGUGGGCGCUAGGUGUGGGAGCCAUUCCACGGUCUCUGUGCCGCAGCUAACGCAUUAAGCGCCCCGCCUGGGGAGUACGGCCGCAAGGCUA